rnacentral:rRNA from 1 species
AUUGAACGCUGGCGGCAGGCUUAACACAUGCAAGUCGAGCGAGCGGCGGACGGGUGAGUAAUGUCUGGGAAACUGCCUGAUGGAGGGGGAUCACUACUGGAAACGGUAGCUAAUCCCGCAUACCAUCAGAUGUGCCCAGAGGGGAUUAGCUAGUAGGUUGGGUAAUGGCUCACCUAGGCGACGCUCCCUAGCUGGUCUGAAAGGAUGACCAUCCACACUGGAACUGAGACACGGUCCAGACUCCUACGGGAGGCAGCAUUGGGGAAUAUUGCACAAUGGGCGCAAUCCUGAUGCAGCCAUGCCGCGUGUAUGAAGAAGGCCUUCGGGUUGUAAAGUACUUUCAGCGAGGAGGCGUUACUCGCAGAAGAAGCACCGGCUAACUCCGUGCCAGCAGCCGCGGUAAUAC